rnacentral:lncRNA from 1 species
UGGGUCACAGGCAGCUCCCCUCAGUCCCGGGUCGCAAGAGGUUGUCGGAUACUCUGGUCCGCACCCCGGUGUCGGAUCCUCUGGGCCGCACCCCGGUGUCGGAUCCUCCGACGGCCCUGACCCAGGAUUCACCAGGCUGGGGAGACAUGAUGGAUGCCUGGCCCUGGGCACAGGCACAGGACUCACCAGGCUGGGGAGACCCACUGAAGGCCUGGUCCUGGGAGGUGGCACAGGAUGAACCAGGAUGGGGAGACCCACUGAAGGCCUGGUCCUGGGAGGUGGCACAGGAUGAACCAGGAUGGGGAGACC